rnacentral:rRNA from 1 species
GCGAAAGUGCGGGUGCUAUACAUGCAGUCGAGCGGACAGAUGGGAGCUUGCUCCCUGAUGUCAGCGGCGGACGGGUGAGUAACACGUGGGUAACCUGCCUGUAAGACUGGGAUAACUCCGGGAAACCGGGGCUAAUACCGGAUGCUUGAUUGAACCGCAUGGUUCAAUUAUAAAAGGUGGCUUCUGCCAACCCUUUACGAAGGACCCCCCGCCCCUUUACCAAUUGGGGAAGGAACGGCUCCCCCAGGGCACCAAGCCUAACCCAACUGAAAAGGUGAUCCGCCCCCCUGGGAAUGAAAACCCGGCCCAAACCCUACCGGAAGGAACCGUAAGGAAACCUCCCCCAUGGAACAAAGUCCGAACGAACCACCCCCCCUGGAUGGAGAAAGUUUUCGGAACCUAAAAAUUCGGUGUUAGGGAAAAAACAAUUCCAUUCAA